GAUGAACGCUGGCGGCGUGCCUAAUACAUGCAAGUCGAGCGAACGGACGAGAAGCUUGCUUUUCUGAUGUUAGCGGCGGACGGGUGAGUAACACGUGGAUAACCUACCUAUAAGACUGGGAUAACUUCGGGAAACCGGAGCUAAUAUCGGAUAAUAUUUUGAACCGCAUGGUUCAAAAGUGAAAGACGGUCUUGCUGUCACUUAUAGAUGGAUCCGCGCUGCAUUAGCUAGUUGGUAAGGUAACGGCUGACCAAGGCAACGAUGCAUAGCCGACCUGAGAGGGUGAUCGGCCACACUGGAACUGAGACACGGUCCAGACUCCUACGGGAGGCAGCAGUAGGGAAUCUUCCGCAAUGGGCGAAAGCCUGACGGAGCAACGCCGCGUGAGUGAUGAAGGUCUUCGGAUCGUAAAACUCUGUUAUUAGGGAAGAACAUAUGUGUAAGUAACUGUGCACAUCUUGACGGUACCUAAUCAGAAAGCCACGGCUAACUACGUG
rnacentral:rRNA from 1 species